CAAUAGCGUAUAUUAAAGUUGUUGCAGUUAAAAAGCUCGUAGUUGGAUUUCUGGUUGAAGCGACCGGUCGGGCGUUGAUUCGUCUGCACUGGAGUCGGUUUUGGCCAUCCUCUAGGAAAGUGCGUCUGGUAUUAAGUUAUCGGGCGUAUGAUCCUGGUCUUUUACUGUGAAAAAAUUAGAGUGUUUAAAGCAGGCCUUCGCCUUGAAUACAUUAGCAUGGAAUAAUAAGAUAGGACUUUGGUCUAUUUUGUUGGUUUGCAGACCGAAGUAAUGAUUAAUAGGGAUAGUUGGGGGUAUUUAUAUUCCGAUGUCAGAGAUGAAAUUCUUAGAUUUUCGGAAGAUAAACUUAUGCGAAAGCAUUUACCAAGGAUGUUUUCAUUAA
rnacentral:rRNA from 1 species